rnacentral:siRNA from 1 species
UUGGCCUACAAGGAUGAGCUUAA